GAAAUGCGAUAAGUAAUGUGAAUUGCAGAAUUCAGUGAAUCAUCGAAUCUUUGAACGCACCUUGCGCCCCAUGGUAUUCCGUGGAGCAUGCCUGUUUGAGUGUCAUGAAAACAAUCAACCUUGACUUUGGUUUAACUACUAUUGACUCGGCUUGGACUUGGGUGUUUGCCAUCUUUACGGAUGGCUCACCUUAAAUUGAUUAGCUGGACUUGUCUUGACGGCUGGUUUGACUCGGUGUAAUAAGUAUUUCACUGAGGACAUCUUUCGGGAUGGCCAACCGCUUGACUAUGGUCUGCUUUCUAACCCUGUUCUCUUUUAGAGACGUUUUUUAUACAUCUGGCCUCAAAUCAGGUAGGACUACCCGCUGAACUUAA
rnacentral:misc_RNA from 1 species